UUCGGAUGCCAGGCACAUUCAGCGUGUGUGUGCGCGCGUGUGUCACCGUGGUAUAUAUACUCACACAGUCCGUCUCGGUUCUCCUAAAUUACAUGACAGCUUGCAAUGGGCAGGCUGCUACCGGUCUGCUUCCAGGACCGACCUCAAAACGGUUUCUCUCGGAAGGGAGCUGGGAGGAUCUGCACAGUGCCUAGGAAAGGCUUUUUCAGGAGCAGCUGCCCCAGCUUGAGCAAGGGGAAGGAGUCAGGGCGGCCACCCGGUCGGGCUGGCACGUGGUGGUGAGGAUUUCAUCCGCGUGCGAGGACGCAGGGCAGCGGGAAGGUAUCUCCCCUCCCGGAAGCGCAGUCAACCAAUGCUCGGUCCCGGCACCAGCAGUCCCUCGUUCUGCAUCAGUGUUCUUUGUAACAAACUGCAAAGGGUCAGAUGCAGGUGGAGAAGCCUCAUUACACCUUAAAGGAAGCAAUGAGCAGCUUGGCCAAGGUCAAAGAACACAACCUUGUUCAAAGCUAGAGUCCUUGAACCUCAAACCCAAGUGCAUCUCACUGCCUCCCAGGUUACAAAUGGGGAGCUCAUGUAUCCAGCCGAAAAGUGCAGUGUUUUCUGGAAUGCAGCAAGGUGGCUGGUUGCCCAUGUACCCUGCAGAGCAGAGGUAUGUGAUGGCUUGAUGCCUAAUGGGUGCUAUAUUUAAUAGACACUAUGGGAUGAGGGCUCAGUCCUCAUGAUAUAGGCAAUCUCAUGACUGUCAUGCUGGGAGCUGGAGGAGAGCUCAGAGGCCGUUAGAAUAUGGCAUGCCAGGGGCUCCUGCAGAUGGGAGCAUUAAUACAGGGUUAAAAUCCUGAUACAUUUUAAAUCAAGGGGAGAAAUAUCACUUGACUCUUCCCUUACCCCCAGCGGACUCAGCCUGAUACUUAUUAAAUACUUAUUAUGUGAUUGCAGUAUAUGUUGCUGACUUAAAGGCCUUCUGUUAUCUGAUUUACAUGAUUGAGCCAUUCAUUCUUCCCUUUUCCACCUGUUCCCUUGCACUCCAGAGCACCAGUAAAUAGCCUGCAAGCCUCACUGGAGGGAUGGCUGCAGCCCAUGGCAAAACAGCCCCGUGCCUGUAAGCGGCCUGAACGUGCUCAGUAGCCUGCAGUGAAACCUGGGCCUGAGGAGCCCCACUCCUCCUGAAGCCAAAGUUCAACGUAAUGGAAAACUUUGCUAAGGUGUGCUGACAAAGGAAUGCUGUCCCCGCACCUUGGCUGUGCCUCAGGAGGCACUGAGGUCCGAUGGGCAGCGGCACAGUCUCUCGCACAAAGCAGCAAGGGGGCUGGAAAGCACCUUUUACAGUCCAAACGGAUGUUUCCCCAGGCUCAUAAAAUACACAGUUUAAGUAGUAGCUGUAUUUCUGAGGCUGGUCCCACACCUGCAACAACGUUGUAAAUGGUGCUGGGAUAUAUGGCUUUAAGACUCCUUGUAAAACGCAAGAUCAACACAAGAUUUACACAGUUUUAUGGAAUUGUUUUAUAAGCUAUUUUGACAAUGAAUCCUGCUAUCAAAAUCACCUCUGGUGCUAAUCACGGAGGAAGCAUUUAGCAGGAACCAACAAAGAUUAGUUUAAACCCCUUUCCUACCGAGCCGUGGGCUGUGCAGUGCAUCUCCCAAGGUCUGGGGCAUGGCUCACACAGCAGCACGUGUGGGGCAGUGGGACCAGGCUUCAAACUGGGGGUGGACACAUCUUUGGGUGCCUCGCCAUGCUCUGGUGGGGAUGAGGACUGAACAAGGCCUGCAGGAGGUGAAACCAGAGCUCCCCUGCCUCCCAUCCUCUCCUGGCCAGGGGUGGAUCUGGGCCUCCAGCAGGUCCUAACAGCCCCUGGGGACACAGCUGGGGCACGGCAAACCAGUGGUGGGACCUGAGCACAGCAUCCCCCAGCACCCAGCCCUCUGUGGUCCUUCUUGCCCACCGCUGGGUCACACAGGAGAGGAAGGUCUGCAGCGAGAGGAUGAACCAGCUUGAAAGCCCAAAUCAACACUCUUGCCUUGCAUUGCCACAGACUCUGCCCCACGCCAAGUGCUGGAUGCGCCGAGGGGAAGUUUGUGGGUCUGGCUGGCCAGAUGUCCCUGGCAAGGAAGCCACGGGCAGUGAGGCUUUCAUUACAUGGCUGCCACAAGCCACAGAGCAACAAGAGGCUCACCACUCCCAGGUUAG